rnacentral:rRNA from 1 species
GGGAGUGCAUAGAGUGGCGCACGGGUGAGUAACACGUAAGUAAUCUACCCUCGAGUGGGGAAUAACGUUCGGAAACGGACGCUAAUACCGCAUAAUGCACCGGCACCGCAAGGUGACAGUUGUUAAAGAUUUAUUGCUUGAGGAGGAGCUUGCGGCAGAUUAGCUUGUUGGUAAGGUAACGGCUUACCAAGGCUACGAUCUGUAUCCGGUCUAAGAGGACGGUCGGACACACUGACACUGAAUAACGGGUCACACUCCUACGGGAGGCAGCAGUCGGGAAUUUUGGGCAAUGGGGGAAACCCUGACCCACCAACGCCGCGUGAAGGAUGAAGUAUUUCGGUAUGUAAACUUCGAAAGAAUGGGAAGAAUCAAUGACGGUACCAUUUAUAAGGUCCGGCUAACUACGUGCCAUCAGCCGCGGUAAUACGUAGGGACCAAGCGUUGUUCGGAUUUACUGGGCGUAUAGGGCGCGUAGGCGGCAUGACAAGUCACUUGUGAAAUUUCCGGGCUUAACUCGGAGCGGCCAAGUGAUACUGUCGCGCUAGAGUGCAGAAGGGGCAAUCGGAAUUCAUGGUGAUAUCGGUGAAUGCGUAGAUAUCAAGAGGAACACCAGAGGUGAACACGGGUUUGCUGGGCUGACACUGACGCUGAUGCGCGAAAGUCCAGGGGCAGCAAACGGGGAUUAGAUACCCUGGUAGUCCUGGCCCUAAACGAUGAA